GUCGAGCGGAGACAGUGAGUAGCUUGCUAUGAGCUGUUUUAGCGGCGGACGGGUGAGUAACGCGUGAGCAACCUUUCCCAGACAGGGGAAUAACACACCGAAAGGUGUACUAAUACCGCAUAAGACCACGGAAUCACAUGGUUCUGAGGUAAAAGAUUUAUCGGUUUGGGGUGGGCUCGCGUCCGAUUAGGUAGUUGGUGAGGUAACGGCCCACCAAGCCGACGAUCGGUAGCCGACCUGAGAGGGUGAUCGGCCACAUUGGGACUGAGACACGGCCCAAACUCCUACGGGAGGCAGCAGUGGGGAAUAUUGGGCAAUGGAGGAAACUCUGACCCAGCAACGCCGCGUGGAGGAAGAAGGUUUUCGGAUCGUAAACUCCUGUCCUUGGAGACGAGUAGAAGACGGUAUCCAAGGAGGAAGCCCCGGCUAACUACGUGCCAGCAGCCGCGGUAAUACGUAGGGGGCAAGCGUUGUCCGGAAUAAUUGGGCGUAAAGGGCGCGUAGGCGGCUCGGUAAGUCU
rnacentral:rRNA from 1 species